rnacentral:lncRNA from 1 species
UUAGUGAAGUUUGUUAGAGUCAGUUAGAUUUUGUUCUACCUAGGUUGUUAGAGUUUGUUAGGAAGUUAUUAGUUGGUUAGGGCCUAAGAGAAUCACUAGCUUUGUGGUGAUCUAGUAUAAAAGGGCUUGGCCCAUAUUAGUGAGUGUAAUCAACUAAUUUUUCCCCCAAGUGGAUGAAUAAAAUCUGAGCUAUUUUCCC